UACGUAGGGUGCGAGCGUUGUCCGGAAUUACUGGGCGUAAAGAGCUCGUAGGUGGUUUGUCGCGUUGUUCGUGAAAACUCACAACUCAAUUGUGGGCGUGCGGGCGAUACGGGCAGACUGGAGUACUGCAGGGGAGACUGGAAUUCCUGGUGUAGCGGUGGAAUGCGCAGAUAUCGGGAAGAACACCCGUGGCGAAGGCGGUUCUCUGGGACGGUACUGACGCUGAGACGCGAAAGCGUGGGGAGCGAACAGG
rnacentral:rRNA from 1 species